GAGGAGAGAAGAGGAGAGGACAGGACAGGAGAGGAGAGAACAGAGAGGACAGAGAGGAGUGGAACACGCAGAGGGAGGGAGACCAAACCCCCUCUUUGCUGCUUUGAGACCUUCUGAAUUUCAAGCAGAAAGUAGAAGAAACCACACACAGCAAUAUUCGUCUUUUCUUGGGCUGCGUGUGCAGAGCGUAGACAAUGAAAAUCUCCAUCCCCCUCCCCCAUGCUCUCUAGUCUACAAGAUUUUUGUUUCUUUCCUUCUCAACGAUGGAAGCGAUGUAAAAUCAAAUAUACAGAGAUGCACAUUUAUUUUUUAAAGCACAGACUAACAAACCAAACGAGCUGACUGCGGAUUAUCCAAACGCGCACCUGCUGGGAGCGUUCUGGGGUCUCUGCACAAAACCUGCUUUGAGUUCUUUGGUUUCCUUCGAGUGAGCUGGAGCUCGUCCUUUCCCCUGGCCCAACCAGCUGCAAGGGAUGCUGUGAAAAGAGCCGCUGCCCACCGCCUCCAGCCCGCUGUCCAGGGGGCUCCGCCCAUAGAGGUCAACUCCCCUCACUCUUCCUCUUUCCAGUUCUCCCUCCCUCUGCCCAGACUCGGGUCUUCUCCCGACUUUUGCCGCAGAGAGUGCAUGUAUGCUGCGCUGCCCUUAACCUACGCCCAGAGCGGUCUCUGACCCCAUCUCUGCUCUCCAGGGCCGGAGGAAGCCUAAGCAAGCAGCCUUUUCUUCCCGCAGUAAAACCAUAGCCAGACCAGAUGCGCCCCAGCUCUCCAGGGAUUCGGCAGGUGCUGUUGAGUUAAUGUUUCCGCCAUACAAAGAAGGAUAAACCAGCCUGUCCUGGGAUUCUGAUCUUUUCCCAAAAUUUCCCAACCAAAAUCAGGGUAUCAGAGGCAUAUUCGUGUGUUUGUCGGACAUACAAACACGCAUGUUUAUAUUCGCUUUUAUCUGCUAGAUUUCUGCUCCGACAGCAGACAGGAGGAGACAACUGACAAAGGUUUUUUUUUUUGUUUUUUGUUUUUGAGCAGAACACUCAUGGCGUGGUCUUUUAAGACUUGCCUUUCCUUACAAAUGUCUUAGGAAGGGAUCAGGGCAAACCAACUCAGCUAAUUGCCUUCAGUAAAAUAACACGAUUAGGAAAUUAGAUCUGUACCAGAGGGGUAAUUAACUUCGAUCCUCGCCAUCAUUUGAAAACUAGAUUUAUAGACGUAUGUAUGGAUUUUAGGUGCGCUCUGAAUGGCAUGCAGAUGUAUGCAUAAGUAUAGGCAGGCUCAUGCACCAUCUACUCUUGCACUAUGCAGACUAAUUAACGGCCAACUCUAGCAGAUGUGGCAGGAGGAGAGCUGAGCUGGGUGCAUUGAGUUACGACCCUGGGGGUAGGAACUCCAAGCCCGGAACUCCAGGGGAGGGUGAAAGGCAGAGAGGAAAGUGUGAUAGUUGCAAUGAGUCAGUUGCUUCUGGAUCAAGAUCAGAGACUCUGCCCUCCGUGUUCACAGCGGACCUUGAUUUAAUGUCAUACAAUUAAGGCACGCGGUGAAUGCCAAGAGCGGAGCCUACGACUGCACUUGAAGGACAUCAGAGAGACUCAGGGUCAGGAAGGUUGGGAAGAAACAAUUCCAGGCCUCAUGAAGGAAGCUAGAAUGAACCCAUCUGUGAGGCAUAAGGACCCCUUGCAUUGAUUCAGAAUCUUUAGAAUGCGAGAGAGUCAUAUGUUUUUCAGCGAGAAUCCGGGAACCCCGCAUGCAUAUCCCCAAGGGGGAAUAUUACAGGUUUCAUUGACAGCUGUCAGACAGCGGUAGCUCCCAUGGUGCAAACGGUCUAGAACCCUGAAAAGCUUUGGCCUUAUCAAGACAGAUUGAGAGCUUGUCCUCAAUCCUGGGCGGGACUGGGAAAACAAAAUGGAUGAGGAGGUAUAGCAUUAAAUAGCCUCCAGACCACAUUGUGCAAAAACCUCAAGUGACUCAAUCGUGUGUGGAAAUAGGAAAAUCCCACACCCAUAGCCCUUGACUUCUCCUAUUCCCUACCCAAUCUCAUGGCGGCCUUUUCGGGUUUUGAAAGACUAAGGGAAAGUCGUAGCAAUACCCAAAUCAGUCAAAGUUGUUAAAUAAGGGGAAAGACCAAGCCAGAAACUCGGGGACUUGGUAAAUUAAUUUAUUUGGAAGACCAUGGAGGUAGACUUAGUUUAGACAGAUCCACUCCACAACCUUGGAGCCUAAGAAAACCAAGGCUGAGGAGAAAGCCUUGAUGGAAGUCUUUGUUCUAUAGUGGUCUGCCUGGCCUGGGAACAAAGGCUAGGCUGGGAAACGAUGCACCAAAGUGGCCGCGCCCUCCGUUCCUUGCGCUGUCCGUGGUGCUGACCGGACCCCCUUCCUCUUCCUCCUCUAUCCAUAAUUCUCCAAGUAAGGCAAUAGAAUUUCUUCUUCCCUCCCUUAAAAAAUCCAGGAUAUUAGGUAAUUUACAAAUAAAAUUUUGAGAUACGUAAAGAUUGUAGACAUCUAAACGGUGUUUUACUGAAAUUGUCCACCCUGUUAUGAUGAUCAGUUGUUUUGGACUGAAACCAGAAUCCGACUAAGGGACAAAACCUCCAAGACAGAGAUGAAACAGAGGGAAAUUUUGUUUUGUUUUGCUUUUCCUAAAUCACAACCCUGAAAACAGAGACACAAGUCCUCAGUUAGGGAUCAUAGCGCAGAUGAGGUUACCAAGGGUACCUCUCAAAUGUCCCCAGAGUAUGCCUCAAGACGUAUUAAAGAGGAUAAAACUGGACCGAUUUGGUGAUCAAGGCAGGCAGGAGGAAAGCAGCCUACAACCACUGUAUAGGUAGGUUCUCAUCGGGGCUCUGGACAGGGCAGUCAAGUUCUGAGGCCCAGACCCACAUAGCAAUGGGGCCCCGAUGCGGAGCUGACAGACAACAUCACCUCUCAAGGAGGUACUGCAGGCCCAGAAGGCCAGACUCCUGCACUGCGGGGAGGGGGAAGGGAGCCAUACUGCAGAACUCUCCUCCUUGUAGCUACCCAGCACCAGAGGUUCAGAGGCAGGGCAGAUUACCAAAUUCCAUAUAAUGAAGAUUUGCCUCAGGAUUUGUGGGUCAGAUGUGUCUGAAGUAAUGCAUUCAAUAUGUAUUUAAAACAUUAAGCAUAUUUCAGCAUUCUAAUUUAAACAUCGAGAAUAUUGUAUAUAAACAAUAAACAAUAAGUUCUGUAGUCAUAUUUGCAAUGGAAAGAGAACUAGGCAAUAAAUGAUAUGUAUCCAGCCUAGGUCCAGGGAAAAAAAAUCAUAAAGGUUGCCAAGCAUCAUCCAUAGAGAAACUGAACCAGGUUGUGCAAACGAGACAGCGGCAGCGAUUUUUUGGCAGGUAUAGAAUGGGCUAUGUAUGGGCAAUGGCCUAAAAGAUGCGUUUUUAUCACUUUUUUCUCUUAAAAACUGAAUGACAGAAACGUAUCCACUCUGUCUGGAAAUAAAAGAGGUCAGAAACAAUAUCCUUGGUGGUCUAAUUCCUCGCUCCAUCCUGAAAGAUGGAUUUUAUUUGUUUUCUGAUUUAAAAUCCUAUAGAUUAGCACUUUUGAAUUUGCAAACUUUAGGUUUGUGUUUGAUUUCAUAUAAGAUGGGGGUACAGAGUUUGAAAGCUGUGUUGGGAGAGAGCUUUCUCAAACACAAAGAAGAUGGCUUUAGGAUGUUCCUCUUUUGUCAAUGAAAAACAGUCACCAGAAAUGGAAAUGGGUUUGAAGCAUUGCAGGCUGUCGUACAGGCUCCUAUUUCCUUCCAGUAUUCAUCCAGUUGUAUUGAUGGCCUCUAUCCACAGUCCGUUGAGCACUUCACAAAGCAAAAAGGGUCUAAUGCUUCAAAACAGUCCUGUUUGUGUUGUUGUAAUUCAUAUUACAUAAUAAAAGCACACUAGUACUCCCUAAUCUAAUCCUAUUUGUUUACAAUCAUCCUAAACUCUAGUUUCAUAAAGCUUAAUCGGUUAAAACAAUAUAUUUUGUAAAUAGAAACGAAAUGUGUGUUAUGAGAGAAUUACAAAAGUAAGGGAACAAACAUGUGAUUAAGUCAUCUGGUCCAGUGUGGUUAUUGAUUCAUAGUGUUUCUAUUCUUUUAAAACUAUUUAUUUUCAAUUUAUUUUAAAAAUAAUCGUCUAGAUUAAUGCCCAUUACAAAAUUUUCUUGCUGUGAAAUUCUGUGCUCAGCAGUUUUCCAGAAAAACAACCCAGGUGGACAAUUAGUGAGUUUGGUGCAAAGGACCAUGGGAGUCCUUCGGCAAUCACAACUUUUAUCUAGGGGUCUGAAAUGAGAGCUUCUCGGAAUAAUUUAGGAACAGCUUGACCCAUUGAGAUGCUCCGGGACAACCCUCUUGGGAAAUAGAGUCUUUCUUUCCAGGGAACAAGAUGCUAGUGCAGGGAACAGGGAGGUAUCUGGUGUCAACAAUGCCAGAGCGCCCUCUGCUGGGCUCCAAGAAACAACACACUGGUUACAGAAGCCAGAUGGUACGAGUUUCAAUAAGCCCUGGAAACAUUAAGCUCUUAGGAUCAUUUAAUCUGUGGAAUUUAAAGGCUCCCAUCACACUCUCCCCUUGAAAGGCCACCCUGUUUUUGUUCUGGGAGCCCCUGGGAUGGUUAUUUUUUAUGAUACAGGUAGCGAGAAGUCAUGUUUGACUUUGACCGCUGGUGGAUGCUUUCUAUAUUCUUUCUCUUUGCAGUUUUAUAGGAAAAUAUGAAAUUGUAAAUAUCAAGGAAAAUAAUCUUUCUCCUGCUAGGCAUCUGAAUAUAAAACAAGUUUCAUCUUCUGCCCAUAAGUGAAAUUUAAUAAAAGUAAAUAUUUUAUUUAGAAUAAAGAUACCAGGAACAGGGUGUUUACUUAAUUUAAAGGAUGUUAAAACCCAAAUAAGGCCUCAGAUAAAGAGCUGUUGUGUUUGUUUGUAUUAAUAUUAACUGCAGUUUUCAAAGACUACACUUUGGAAUAAGAAAGCAAGUUAUGUUUUGGAAGAAGCUGACAUGUUUGAGUCAUAUUAAUUAAUAUAUCCAGAAGUUCACCUUUGAAAUUUUCCUAUUGAGUCAAUAUCUGUACUCAGGUGGCAAAGAUCCCAGAAAGCGGACUACUGUGAGUAGCAUCACGAGGAAGGCAGAAAUGGCAGCAGUGUGUGCAAACUUCUGAAUGUUGUCUGUAAUUUUCUGUAUGGAACAAUGUUAUAAAUGAAAUGGACGCUUCUUGAAAAGUUAAGACCCAUUUUUGAUUUCACAUAUAAUUGGGCUUAUAUUGAGUAAAAUAACGUAUAGCUGUAUUAUCUCAUAACUAUGAGUUAGAAAUUCCAGCCUCUUGUACAAUAGACACAUCUUUGCUGUGAAAACUGUUAAUAACUACAUCUGUGCUGGUAUAAUAAAAUGUUUCUAAUUAUGUGGUUGUUAAAUACAUCUUCUAAAAUAAAGUUCAGUUUAUUUUAUGA